UGAACUUGGCAAAUUAACACCGUAACUUCGGGAGAAGGUGUGCCCUUUGACGUGCAGGACUUUACGUCUGAAGCGUUGGGGGGUUGCAGAGAAACGGGGGUUGCGACUGUUUACUAAAAACACAGGACUCUGCGAACUCGCAAGAGGGCGUAUAGGGUCUGACGCCUGCCCGGUGCUGGAAGGUUAAGGGGAGUUGUCAGCGUAAGCGAAGCAACGAACUGAAGCCCCAGUAAACGGCGGCCGUAACAAUAACGGUCCUAAGGUAGCGAAAUUCCUUGUCGGGUAAGUUCCGACCUGCACGAAUGGCGUAACGACAUCCCCACUGUCUCGACCAGCGACUCAGCGAAAUUGUAAUCGCGGUGAAGAUACCGUGUACCCGCGGCAAGACGGAAAGACCCCAUGAACCUUUACUGCAACUUGACAGUGAAGCUCGGGACAGACUGCGUAGGAUAGGUGGGAGGCUGUGAAGCCGGGAUUCUGGUCUCGGCUGAGCCAACCUUGAAAUACCACCCUGUUUGUUCUGGGCUUCUAACCCAGGCGUGUAAGCCACGCCGGGGACACUGUCUGGUGGGCAGUUUGACUGGGGCGGUCGCCUCCCAAAAAGUAACGGAGGCGCGCGACGGUUCCCUCAGGCUGAUUGGAAACCAGCCGUAUUGUAAUGGCAUAAGGGAGCUUGACUGUGAGACCGACAGGUCGAGCAGGUGCGAAAGCAGGUCAUAGUGAUCCGGCAGUUCUGUAUGGAAGGGCUGUCGCUCAUCGGACAGAAGGUACUCUGGGGAUAACAGGCUGAUCGCGCCUGAGAGUUCAUAUCGGCGGCGCGGUUUGGCACCUCGAUGUCGGCUCAUCGCAUCCUGGGGCUGGAGCAGGUCCCAAGGGUUUGGCUGUUCGCCAAUUAAAGCGGUACGCGAGCUGGGUUUAGAACGUCGUGAGACAGUUCGGUCCCUAUCUGCCGUGGGCGUAGGAUACUUGAGAGGGUCUAACCAUAGUACGAGAGGACCUGGUUGGACGUACCUCUGGUGAUCCGGUUGUUCCGCCUGGAGCAUCGCCGGGUAGCUAUGUACGGAAUGGAUAACCACUGAAAGCAUCUAAGUGGGAAGCCAGCCUCAAGAUGAGGUAUCCCGGGGCCUUGAGCCCCCUGAAGGCCCGUCGAAGACUACGACGUAAUAGGCUGGGUGUGGAAGCGCAGCAAUGUGUGGAGCUAACCAGUACUAAUCGGCCGUGAGGCUUGACCUG
rnacentral:rRNA from 1 species